rnacentral:SRP_RNA from 13 species
GCCAGGCACAGUGGUGCGUGCCUGUAGUCCCAGCUACUUGGGAGGCUAGUGGGUGGCUUGAGCCCAGGAGUUCUGGGCUGUGGUGCGCUAUGCCGAUCGGGUGUCUGCACUAAGUUUGGCAUCAAUAUGGUGACCUUCUGGGAGCAGGAGACCACCAGGUUGCCUAAGGAGGGGUGAACCUGCCCAGGUCGGACACAGAGCAGGUCAAAACUCCCAUUCUGAUCAGUAGUGGGAUUGCACCUGUGAAUAGCCACUGCACUCCAGCCUGGGCAACAUAGCAAGACCCCGUCU